rnacentral:rRNA from 1 species
GAUGAACGCUGGCGGCGUGCCUAAUACAUGCCAGUAGAACGCUGAAGGAGGAGCUUGCUCUUCUGGAUGAGUUGCGAACGGGUGAGUAACGCGUAGGUAACCUGCCUGGUAGCGGGGGAUAACUAUUGGAAACGAUAGCUAAUACCGCAUGACAACAGUUAUUGCAUGAUAACUGUUUAAAAGGGGCAACUGCUCCACUACCAGAUGGACCUGCGUUGUAUUAGCUAGUUGGUGAGGUAACGGCUCACCAAGGCGACGAUACAUAGCCGACCUGAGAGGGGGAUCGGCCACACUGGGACUGAGACACGGCCCAGACUCCUACGGGAGGCAGCAGUAGGGAAUCUUCGGCAAUGGACGGAAGUCUGACCGAGCAACGCCGCGGGAGUGAAGAAGGUUUUCGGAUCGUAAAGCUCGGUUGUAAGAGAAGAACGAGUGUGAGAGUGGAAAGUUCACACUGUGACGGUAUCUUACCAGAAAGGGACGGCUAACUACGUG